GUGUACUUGUACAUAACCACCAGACUUGGAAACACGUGUGUCCCGCUGGUUCAGGAAACGAUAAACAAGAUUCUAAGCUGAGACCAAACAGCCGGAGGAAGACAGUUUUCUGACCAAACACCUUUACGAGAAAAUGACGCAGAUUCUGCCGUCAGGACAGAAAUUAAAGUACUUCCUGUUUAUGCUAAUCGCCACAGCUUUCUGCGGAAUGAUAUUGCUACACUACAAUAAGUUUAGUCUUAUGGCGACUAAAAUGUGGAUAGCACCACAACCAGACAGCUUUUCAAAUAAAGAACGAAUGAACACCAAUAACAAUUUUAAACCGCCUGAAAUAUUGAUAGCACCACAGACAGACAACUCUGGCAAUAAAGAUGGAAGGAAAACCAAUAACAAUUUUAAACCGACUAAUAUAUUGAUAGCACAACAAACAGACAAAUCUUCCGAUAAAGAUGGAAAGAAAACCAGUAUCAAUUUUAAACCGACUGAAAUAUUGAUAGCACAACAAACAGACAACUCU